rnacentral:rRNA from 1 species
GUCGAGCGAUGGAUUAAGAGCUUGCUCUUAUGAAGUUAGCGGCGGACGGGUGAGUAACACGUGGGUAACCUGCCCAUAAGACUGGGAUAACUCCGGGAAACCGGGGCUAAUACCGGAUAAUAUUUUGAACUGCAUGGUUCGAAAUUGAAAGGCGGCUUCGGCUGUCACUUAUGGAUGGACCCGCGUCGCAUUAGCUAGUUGGUGAGGUAACGGCUCACCAAGGCAACGAUGCGUAGCCGACCUGAGAGGGUGAUCGGCCACACUGGGACUGAGACACGGCCCAGACUCCUACGGGAGGCAGCAGUAGGGAAUCUUCCGCAAUGGACGAAAGUCUGACGGAGCAACGCCGCGUGAGUGAUGAAGGCUUUCGGGUCGUAAAACUCUGUUGUUAGGGAAGAACAAGUGCUAGUUGAAUAAGCUGGCACCUUGACGGUACCUAACCAGAAAGCCACGGCUAACUACGUGCCAGCAGCCGCGGUAAUACGUAGGUGGCAAGCGUUAUCCGGAAUUAUUGGGCGUAAAGCGCGCGCAGGUGGUUUCUUAAGUCUGAUGUGAAAGCCCACGGCUCAACCGUGGAGGGUCAUUGGAAACUGGGAGACUUGAGUGCAGAAGAGGAAAGUGGAAUUCCAUGUGUAGCGGUGAAAUGCGUAGAGAUAUGGAGGAACACCAGUGGCGAAGGCGACUUUCUGGUCUGUAACUGACACUGAGGCGCGAA